UACGUAGGGUGCGAGCGUUAAUCGGAAUACUGGGCGUAAAGCGUGCGCAGGCGGUUCGUUAAGUUCGAUGUGAAAGCCCCGGGCUCAACCUGGGAACUGCAUUGGAAACUGGCGAGCUUGAAUGCGGCAGAGGGGGGUGGAAUUCCGCGUGUAGCAGUGAAAUGCGUAGAGAUGCGGAGGAACACCGAUGGCGAAGGCAGCCCCCUGGGCCGACAUUGACGCUCAGGCACGAAAGCGUGGGGAGCAAACAGG
rnacentral:rRNA from 1 species